UGGGAUGGUGCAAAGCGGAGCCAACUCAGAUGCGAGGUGUGAAGUGCAGGACACAUCGCACUGAGCUUUUUUUUUUGCACAUCACGUUGCGGGGUCGGUUCCGGGGCGGGGUCACUUCGAGGGUA
rnacentral:rRNA from 1 species